rfam:Salmo salar isolate Sally breed double haploid chromosome ssa10, whole genome shotgun sequence.
ACAUAAUAUAAUUGUAAGUUGCUCUGGGUAAGAGUGUCUGCUAAAUGACUCAAA